rnacentral:rRNA from 1 species
UACGUAGGGGGCAAGCGUUGUCCGGAUUUAUUGGGCGUAAAGGGCGCGCAGGCGGCCGCAUUUGUCAGGCGUGAAAGCCCCGGGCUUAACCUGGGAACUGCGUUUGAUACGGUGUGGCUAGAGUUCGGGAGAGGAGAGUGGAAUUCCGUGGUGUGAGCGGUGAAAUGCGCAGAUAUCAGGAGGAACACCAAUGGCGAAGGCAGCUCGCUGGGACGGUACUGACGCUGGAGACGCGAAAGCGUGGGGAGCAAACAGG